AUGGCUUCAGGGAAGAAGGUCGACGAAGAAGAUGUUGUUUCUCACAUCCUCGCCGGACUCGACGAAGAGUUCGACCCGGUGGUCUCGGCUAUGUGCUCUCGAGUCGAACCGGUCACGGUCCCGGAGCUGUACUCACAACUGCUGAGCUUUGAGACUUGCAUGAGUCUGCGUGGUGGAUCCUCCCAGUCAUCUGCAAAGGUCGCGACUCGCGACCGCUUCAACAAGAACAACGGUGGCGGUGGCGGUGACGGCGACCGUAACUUCCCCAACAAACAGGCUAGAGGUGGUGACCGCGCCCGCGGCAACUUCCCCAAGUUGCCUAACCCACCAAACCGUGGGAACGGCGGCAAAAGCAGCAACGGUGGCGCCGGUGGGAACUACUCCAACAAUCCCUCCGCCAAGCCAGCCUGCCAGAUCUGCGGCAAGAUAGGGCACUCGGCAUGGAAGUGCGGGAAGCGCUAUGACUCCUCGUAUCAAGGAGGAGAGGAGCGCUCGACAAACAUGGCGGCUCCUCAGUACGAAGUCGACACCAACUGGUACCUGGAUAGUGGUGCAACAAACCACAUCACAGGUGAUCUAGAGAAGCUCACAAUUCGAGAUUGCUACAUUGGAGAUGAUCAGAUUCAUACGGCGAGUGGAUUAGGAUCGGGAAUCGAAGAGGGUUCUGCUGCAAGGCAGGCGUAG
rnacentral:rRNA from 1 species